AACGAACGCUGGCGGCAUGCCCAACACAUGCAAGUCGAACGAGACCUUCGGGUCUAGUGGCGCACGGGUGCGUAACGCGUGGGAACCUGCCCUUAGGUUCGGAAUAACCCCCCGAAAGGGGUGCUAAUACCGGGUAAUGUCUUCGGACCAAAGAUUUAUCGCCUUUGGAUGGGCCCGCGUUGGAUUAGCUAGUUGGUAGGGUAAAAGCCUACCAAGGCGACGAUCCAUAGCUGGUCUGAGAGGAUGAUCAGCCACACUGGGACUGAGACACGGCCCAGACUCCUACGGGAGGCAGCAGUGGGGAAUAUUGGACAAUGGGCGAAAGCCUGAUCCAGCAAUGCCGCGUGAGUGAUGAAGGCCUUAGGGUUGUAAAGCUCUUUUACCCGGGAUGAUAAUGACAGUACCGGGAGAAUAAGCUCCGGCUAACUCCGUG
rnacentral:rRNA from 1 species